rnacentral:ncRNA from 2 species
CUUCACGAGAUGCCGUCGCCAAGCUCCGACUUGACGGCACGCCAACCCCAUGCUCGUGGGUGGCUCGGAUGAUGAAGCGGCCGAGCACCAACCGGUGCUGAGGCAAGAGCACGGC